rnacentral:rRNA from 1 species
UGCAUAAUCAUUAGUCUUUUAAUUUGAGACUGGUAUGAAAGAGUAAACCGAGAGAAUAUUUUUUCAACUGAGAGAAUGAAUUUUACUUUUUAGUAAGAAGGCUAAAAUUUAACUUUUAGACAAGAAGACCCUAUAAAACUUUAUAUUUUUACUUCCUUAGAUGAAAGGAGAAGUAUUUUACUGGGGCGGUGGAGAAAAAAGCUUUCUUUAUAAGAAGAGACAGACAUGUUUUAAUACCUAGAAAUUCUAAAGUAGGAAUAAGUUACUUUAGGGAUAACAGCUUAAUAUACUUAGAAAGAUCAAAUUGACAAGUAAGUUUAUGACCUCGAUGUUGAAUUAAAAGUCCUUUUUUGUGUAAAAGCUUUAA